rnacentral:tRNA from 1 species
GAAUAAGUAAUUAAAUAAUAAUUUAUCUUUGUCAAAGAUAAUUUACCAAUAUAGGUCUUAUUCU